UCAGUAUCUGACGGUAGGAUGGCAACGCGGAGAACUAAAGAUGCUCGAAAUGUGCUUUUGCCACGACCAUUCUGAUGCAAGGGAGAUCAUGCGUGGUUGAUGCCCUCGUCGGCUCGUGGUUGAGUGCGCGAGAGUGGUACCCACAACGGCGACGCGUAUCCAACCGCAAGGUUAUAAACAGCUGCUGAGAGGCUCAUGUGCUCAUCUGAUCAGAAGGAGGCUAAGUUCGAACACUUCAGGCUAGUCUAGCAGUUAUAUACAUAGAAGCAGAGCAUAUACCAGUGAUAAAUCAAUCAGCUGCGAGCUGAGUGAGCUGUGAAGUGUGGUGAACAUCGAUCAACCGAAGAUGGUGUCUAUGGGAGCUGCCGGUAGCACGGCGUGGCGGGCGCCGGCGCCGGUGAGGCAGCUGUUCUGGAGGAUGAGGUCCAGCUGGAAGAACACCCUGAUGCGGCGGCCGAGGGGCGGUGCCCCGAGGUUCGGCUAUGACCUGCAAAGCUACUCCCUGAACUUCGACGACGGCCACCUCGGCUCGGCUGCCUAGCUAAUGACUAUCGAUCGCUCUAGCUAGUCCCAUGUAAAUAAUUUUAAUUUUCUUUCCGUCACCCGGCCAUGGCUUCAAAAGUUGGGGAGCUGGAAGCGCCGCCACCACUUUCCAAUUUGCUCAUCUAGCUAGUUGAUGGCCUGAUGCCUAUCCAUAAGUAUUAUGCAUUUUUGUGCAUCUUGCUCGUUGUUCAGUAAAUGCUAUAAGUAUUGACUACUCGAUCACUAGUUGAAAGUUAAUAGAAUGGAAUGGCUCAUGUAUA